CGAAGAACCUUACCAGGUCUUGACAUCCCUUGCAAAGCUAUGGAGACAUAGUGGAGGUUAUCAAGGAGACGAGGUGGUGCAUGGUUGUCGUCAGCUCGUGUCGUGAGAUGUUGGGUUAAGUCCCGCAACGAGCGCAACCCUUAUUGCUAGUUACCAUCAUUAAGUUGGGGACUCUAGCGAGACUGCCAGUGAUAAACUGGAGGAAGGUGGGGAUGACGUCAAAUCAUCAUGCCCCUUAUGACCUGGGCUACAAACGUGAUACAAUGGCUGAAACAAAGGGCAGCGAAGCAGUGAUGUGGAGCGAAACCCAAAAAAGCAGUCUCAGUUCGGAUUGAAGUCUGCAACUCGACUUCAUGAAGUUGGAAUCGCUAGUAAUCGUAGAUCAGAACGCUACGGUGAAUACGUUCUCGGGGUUU
rnacentral:rRNA from 1 species